AUUGAACGCUGGCGGCAGGCCUAACACAUGCAAGUCGAACGAGUGGCGGACGGGUGAGUAAGGUCUGGGAAACUGCCUGACGGAGGGGGAUAACUACUGGAAACGGUCGAUAAUACCGCAUACCAUCAGAUGUGCCCUGAGGGGAUUAGCUAGUUGGUGGGGUAACGGCUCACAAAGGCGACGAUCCCUAGCUGGUCUGAGAGGAUGACCAGCCACCCUGGAACUGAGACACGGUCCAGACUCCUACGGGAGGCAGCAGUGGGAAAUAUUGCACAAUGGGCUCAAGCCUGAUUCAGCCAUGCCGCGUGUAUGAAGAAGGCCUUCGGGUUGUAAAGUACUUUCAGCGGGGAGGCGUUACCCGCAGAAGAAGCACCGGCUAACUCCGUGCCAGCCGCCGCGGUAAUAC
rnacentral:rRNA from 1 species